UACGGAAGGCAGCAGUGGGGAAUAUUGCACAAUGGGCGCAAGCCUGAUGCAGCCAUGCCGCGUGUAUGAAGAAGGCCUUCGGGUUGUAAAGUACUUUCAGUCGUGAGGAAGGUGUUAAGGUUAAUAACCUUAGCAAUUGACGUUAGCGACAGAAGAAGCACCGGCUAACUCCGUGCCAGCAGCCGCGGUAAUACGGAGGGUGCGAGCGUUAAUCGGAAUUACUGGGCGUAAAGGGCACGCAGGCGGUUAAUUAAGUUGGAUGUGAAGUCCCCGGGCUUAACCUGGGAAUGGCAUUCAAGCUGGUUAGCUAGAGUCUUGUAGAGGGGGUAGAAUUCCAUGUGUAGCGGUGAAAUGCGUAGAGAUGUGGAGGAAUACCGGUGGCGAAGGCGGCCCCUGGACAAAGACUGACGCUCAUGUGCGAAAGCGUGGGGAGCAAACGAGGAUUAGACUAC
rnacentral:rRNA from 1 species